AGCUCCAGUAGCGUAUAUUAAAGUUGCUGCCAUUAAACAGCUCGUAGAUGGAUUUCUGGUAUGAUACGCCUGACCCGUGUUUUUUAAAAUGUGUGUGUCGGUGCGAUUCUGCCAUCUUUCUCAGUGAAUGUUGUUCUACUCUUUAUUGAGCACAGACUUUAGACGCUGAAUCGAUUACUUUGAAAACAUGAGAGUGUUUCAAGCAGGCGCAUGUUGUGGAUCUACUUUCAUGGAAUAAUAUCAUAGGGCUUCGGUUCUAUUUUGUUCGUUUAUUGAAUCGAUGUAAUGAUUGAUAAGGAUAUUUGGGGGUGCUCGUAUUCAAUGGCCAGGGGUGAAAUUCUUGGAACCAUUGAAGGUUGCCUUCUGCGAAAGCAUUCACCAAGGAUAUCUUCU
rnacentral:rRNA from 1 species